rnacentral:tRNA from 1 species
GCUCCAUUGGCGUCAGCGGUAACGCACCACCUUGGUAAGGUGGGGAUCCCGGGUUCGAAUCCCGGAUGGAGCU